AUACGGGGGGUGCAAGCGUUACUCGGAAUCACUGGGCGUAAAGCGCGCGCAGGCGGUCUUUUAAGUUGGAUGUGAAAGCCUACGGCUCAACCGUAGAACUGCAUCCAAAACUAUUAGACUAGAGUGUGGGAGAGGAAGAUGGAAUUAGUUGUGUAGGGGUAAAAUCCGUAGAGAUAACUAGGAAUACCAAAAGCGAAGGCAAUCUUCUGGAACACUACUGACGCUGAGGCGCGAAAGCGUGGGGAGCAAACAGGAUUAGAUACCCUAGUAGUCC
rnacentral:rRNA from 1 species